GCCGAGGUGGCGAAAUGGUAGACGCGCAGGAUUUAGGAUCCUGUGCCGUAAGGCAUGGAGGUUCGAGUCCUCUCCUCGGCA
rnacentral:tRNA from 1 species